rnacentral:rRNA from 1 species
AGUGAACGCUGGCGGUAGGCCUAACACAUGCAAGUCGAACGGCAGCACAGGAGAGCUUGCUCUCUGGGUGGCGAGUGGCGGACGGGUGAGGAAUACAUCGGAAUCUACCUUUUCGUGGGGGAUAACGUAGGGAAACUUACGCUAAUACCGCAUACGACCUACGGGUGAAAGUGGGGGACCGCUAGGCCUCACGCGAUUAG